AGGACGAACGCUGGCGGCGUGCUUAACACAUGCAAGUCGAGCGACGCCCCUCCUUCGGGAGGAUGACGGAGCGGCGAACGGGUGAGUAACACGUGGGCAACCUGCCCCUAGCUCUGGGAUAACCCCGGGAAAUCGGGACUAAUACCGGAUAUGAAGUCGGACGGCAUCGUCUGACUUGGAAAGUUUUUCGGCUAGGGAUGGGCCCGCGGCCUAUCAGCUUGUUGGUGGGGUAAUGGCCUACCAAGGCGACGACGGGUAGCC
rnacentral:rRNA from 1 species